rnacentral:lncRNA from 1 species
UCACAGCCUGUGGCUUGGUUCCUGCUUGUUUAACUUGGUGUGCCUGGGAAGGGGUCACCUCUUCAUGGAGGUGGGGGCAGAGCUUCCCUACAGGACCUGGGUUGGCAUCCAGGCAGCACAGGGCUUCCCUGAACACCCCCAGGCUCUGCCUUGACACCCACUCGGCUGGGAAGGUCCUGACCACAGCCCUGUGAUCAGUCCUGCUCAACACCUCCCCACCAGGGCACAGCAGCUCACCAUGGUGUGUUGGUGCAGGGAUGCUGGAGUGCACACGAUGCUGCCCUGUGGAGGGACAGAGGAACUUCCCAAGGGACUGUGAAGCACUGUUGCUGGUUUUCCAGACUCAUCCCUGCAUGUCCUGAGCUUCAGGAACUGAUGAAUUCCUUCCAUGCUGCCUGGGCCAGGACCCCGUCCCCACUCAGCCCCAUCCCCGCUGAGUCCUGCCGUGCUGGCUCCAGCUGCCACAUCAGUGCCACCACAUCCUGUUGGAAUCUGAGGUAUUGAUGAUCCCGAGAUUGUAAAAGUCUCUGUCUGUCAGCCCCACUGCCAAAGCAGAAGCCAUAAUUCGUCUGUGCUGGUUUCAAGGUUGUUUAUUCUGUUUAUCUCUAACAUGUUCUGCUGCCCUGCCGCAGCUCUGUCCUGCAGGGCAGCGUGU